GCGCCCAUAGCUCAGUUGGAUAGAGUGUCUGACUACGAAUCAGAAGGUCGGGAGUUCGAAUCUCUCUGGGCGCACCA
rnacentral:tRNA from 1 species